rnacentral:rRNA from 1 species
AACGAACGCUGGCGGCAGGCCUAACACAUGCAAGUCGAACGAUAAGCCACCUUCGGGUGGUGGACAGUGGCAGACGGGUGAGUAACGCGUGGGAACGUGCCUUUCGGUUCGGGGUAACCCAGGGAAACUUGGGCUAAUACCGGAUACGCCCUUCGGGGGAAAGAUUCAUUGCCGAGCGAGCGGCCCGCGUCGGAUUAGCUAGUUGGUGGGGUAAUGGCCUACCAAGGCGACGAUCCGUAGCGGGUCUGAGAGGAUGACCAGCCACACUGGGACUGAGACACGGCCCAGACUCCUACGGGAGGCAGCAGUGGGGAAUAUUGGACAAUGGGCGAAAGCCUGAUCCAGCCAUGCCGCGUGGGUGAAGAAGGCCUUAGGGUUGUAAACCCCUUUCAGCGGGGACGAUAAUGACGGUACCCGCAGAAGAAGUCCCGGCUAACUCCGUGCCAGCCGCCGCAGUAA